rnacentral:misc_RNA from 1 species
AAGUCGUAACAAGGUUUCCGUAGGUGAACCUGCGGAAGGAUCAUUAACACGUUCCCACGUUCCCACCCUCUGUGAACUGACUCUCCCUACGAAUGUAUCGCUGCUCUGGCGGUUAGUGAUGGGUGUGCAGCCUCAACCACUGCACGCAACUGUCUGAACUCGGGCUUCGAGCCCAGUGCGUUCUUCGUGGGCAUUUCUUUUCCAUCACUGUUUCCCAAACCAUUGUCACACCAAACUCAUCCUGACUGAUGUACUUAUGUAAGAGAGAAAUCUGGCAUAAGCAAGUUAUUCAAACUAAGCACAACUCUUAGCAAUGGAUAUCUUGGUUCUC